rnacentral:rRNA from 1 species
GACGGAGGGGGCAAGCGUUGUUCGGAAUUAUUGGGCGUAAAGGGCUCGUAGGCGGACGAGUAAGUCUGGCGUGAAAUCUCCACCGCUCAACGGGGAGAGGCCGUCGGAUACUGCUUGUCUGGAGUGCGGUAGAGGACCAUGGAAUUCCAGGUGUAGCGGUGGAAUGCGUAGAUAUCUGGAAGAACACCGGUGGCGAAGGCGGUGGUCUGGACCGUAACUGACGCUGAGGAGCGAAAGCCAGGGGAGCGAACGGG